rnacentral:rRNA from 1 species
AGGAAGUAAAAGUCGUAACAAGGUCUCCGUUGGUGAACCAGCGGAGGGAUCAUUACCGAGUUUACAACUCCCAAACCCCUGUGAACAUACCACUUGUUGCCUCGGCGGAUCAGCCCGCUCCCGGUAAAACGGGACGGCCCGCCAGAGGACCCCUAAACUCUGUUUCUAUAUGUAACUUCUGAGUAAAACCAUAAAUAAAUCAAAACUUUCAACAACGGAUCUCUUGGUUCUGGCAUCGAUGAAGAACGCAGCAAAAUGCGAUAAGUAAUGUGAAUUGCAGAAUUCAGUGAAUCAUCGAAUCUUUGAACGCACAUUGCGCCCGCCAGUAUUCUGGCGGGCAUGCCUGUUCGAGCGUCAUUUCAACCCUCAAGCCCUCGGGUUUGGUGUUGGGGAUCGGCGAGCCCUUGCGGCAAGCCGGCCCCGAAAUCUAGUGGCGGUCUCGCUGCAGCCUCCAUUGCGUAGUAGUAAAACCCUCGCAACUGGAACGCGGCGCGGCCAAGCCGUUAAACCCCCAACUUCUGAAUGUGACCUCGGUCAGCUAGGA